CAGCCGCCACGGUAAUACGUAGGUGGCAAGCGUUGUCCGGAAUUAUUGGGCGUAAAGGGCUCGCAGGCGGUUUCUUAAGUCUGAUGUGAAAGCCCCCGGCUCAACCGGGGAUGGUCAUUGGAAACUGGGAAACUUGAGUGCAGAAGAGGAGAGUGGAAUUCCACGUGUAGCGGUGAAAUGCGUAGAGAUGUGGAGGAACACCAGUGGCGAAGGCGACUCUCUGGUCUGUAACUGACGCUGAGGAGCGAAAGCGUGGGGAGCGAACAGGAUUAGAUACCCCGGUAGUCCCUGUCUCUUAUAC
rnacentral:rRNA from 1 species